AUCAACACUACAAAUCUAAAGCUGAAAGCUCAGGGUACGGUAAUGACAGAUGGAAACUUCAUUACAGAAAGCAAUGAAGAACACCCAAGUGCUGGUCUUGGCUCAUUCCUGCUCCUCCCUGCUAGUAUCUCAAAGCCACCUUACAGGAAUGUAAAAGCCACACUACCCAAUUACUGCAACUCAAAGGAUAAAUGUCAACAUCUAUACAAAGUAUUGUCAGAAAGAGUGUGAAAAAAAGGUGUAGACCAGACCCAUGACUUGCUCCUAAACAACAGAAUAUGACAAAUGGAAUGGCACGUCACUCCCAUGAUUAUGUGAUGUUAUAUGACUGUGUCUUGCUAGCUGGCUGGCUCCACAGACGUUCUCUCUCCCUUGCUGGCUGUGAAGAAGCAAGCUGCCAGAACUCCUAAAGCCACAUGGAGCUCAUUGCUGCCAAAAGGAAUUGGGAAGCAAAUCCUUCCCUAGCUGAGCCUCCAGUUGAGAGCCAGUCCUGGCCAACACCUUGAAUGUAGCCUUGUAAGACCUUCUGAGGAGGACCAAGCUAUGCCGUAUCCAGAUGUGUGACCUGCAGAAACUCUGAGUGCCUAAGACACAGUUCUGGAAUCUGCAGUGGGAUCAAUGAGGUACGGUCUCUGCUUUAACUAACGCUCCACUUUGACCUCACACAAUGUUCUACCAAGUGGAGAUGGGGCAAGGAGGUGGGAGGAAGGACAACAGGAAAGAUUUCUUCACCUACAAGAAUUUAAACACCAUGAGAGCAAAGAAAGCCAUUUCUGCCUCGCCCUGUACAAUCUCUGUAAUUCCUGGGAGAACUCCUGUUACACAGGAGCAUGGUGAACACUUGCUGAAUGAACAAAUGAACCAAUGAAUGCAUGAGCCAGACACUGAGCUGGUGACUGAGAAGCAACAGUGAGCAGAAACUGUCACACAUCCACCUUGCUGUGACUUGCAAGCCAGUGGAGGAAGCAGAAGUUCUAAUGUUCACGCUCCACAGUGACUGCUGCAAAGGAAAACCUCAGGGCGAGCAAGAGAGCUUUUAACAGGAGACUCUGGUCUAGUUGGAAGUAUCCAGGCUGCUCCCUGGGGAAGUGAAGUUUGCAGAUAUCUGAG
rnacentral:lncRNA from 10 species